rnacentral:rRNA from 1 species
UACGUAGGGGGCUAGCGUUGUCCGGAAUCAUUGGGCGUAAAGAGCGUGUAGGCGGUCCGGUAAGUCCGCUGUGAAAGUCGGGGGCUCAACCCUCGAAUGCCGGUGGAUACUGUCGGGCUAGAGUGCGGAAGAGGCGAGUGGAAUUCCUGGUGUAGCGGUGAAAUGCGCAGAUAUCAGGAGGAAUACCGGUGGCGAAGGCGGCAUCCUGGACCGACAUUGACGCUGAACGGCGAAAGCUAGGGGAGCAAACGGG